CUCCACUUUUUCCAGCCGCCACUCUCUUCUUCCUCCUCUCCCACACGCACAACUCUCUCCUCCUUGCUCCAUGGCGCAGCAGCAAAGUCCUUCUUCCCCACAUCCGGUCGUUGUCCCCCUGGUCCUGCUCGGCGAUGCCCUUCUCCCCUAGGCCGGUGAGCAGGUCUUCUUCCUCCCUGCUUCACGGCAGCAAGCAUGGACGCCGCUGCUCCUUUUUUUUCCUCUCGCUCUGCUCGCUCGGCCGCCAGCAGCCAUGGCCGACCUCCACUUCCAUGGAGCAGGCGCCCCCAACAGCCAUGGCGCCCUUCCCUGUUCUCCAGCGCCCUCCCUGCCAUCUUCCCUCCCAUGGGCGCGAGCUUCACCCUCGGCAAUGGACGCUGCGCGAGAUCCCCCUUGCGCCCCUGUUUUCCCAGCCGUGCAGCUCCCUAUUCGACUUCCAUGGUCGCCCAGCUCCCUGUCCACGGCGCCCAGGAAUUCCAACAGCAGCUCAUCCCCUCCCAGCGCCCCCUUCUGCUCCAUGGCUGCAAGAAGCCUCUCCAUGGUUGACGCACAGGUGGCCAGCAGCUCUGCUCGCCCCUUGUACCUUGAGCAGCAAGAAGCAGCGCCCCUAUCUCCUUUUCCCCGCAGCCCCACCAAAUCGACGCGCCGUAGGUGCUCGACAAAAUGCGCAGCUCCAUUUCUCCAUGGCCGCGAGCAUUUCCUUGCCGCGACUGCCUCCCAAGGACAGCGCGUAGCAGCCUCCCCGUGGCCAUGGUCUGCAACAUGAAGUCGCACGCUACAUGUUCGAUGUUUUGCGCAGCAGCUCCGACGUCUCCACGCGGCUCGCUGCUUUGUGCUGCGCAGCGAACAGCCGUCGACGCCCGCCGUGUGUUCGCUGUUUUGCUUAGCCCCAAUAUCGUCGUCGUUCACCCCGGUGAGACCACGACAAUUCUUGUUUAAUUUCACAUCGACAUUAUUCUCCGGUGAUUAAUUGUGUAUGUGUUGCUUGUUUUGUUUUGUGGAGGAGACGAACCCCGUGUUUUGCGGGGAGAAGGCAAGUCGUUCGACGCUCGUCGACGUUCGAAGUUAUGCGCAAAUCGGAAUCGCCAUCGUCCUUACAAACACCGAUUGGGUUUGUUUAUGGACCGAGAGAUGAUGAUCGAGCCAGUGAUGUGGUGCCAACCACAAGAUGCCGUGGUGGACGACCUGAAGAAUGGACUUAACUAGUGGAUGCUCGCCAAGCGAGUACCCCCCCAGCAAACACUAUCUAAGUGUUAAAUUAAAGACAAGCCCCAGUUUUAUGCAUAACCGUUUAUAU